GACGAACGCUGGCGGUGCGCCUAACACAUGCAAGUCGAACGAGCGAGAGAGAGCUUGCUUUCUCGAGCGAGUGGCGAACGGGUGAGUAACGCGUGAGGAACCUGCCUCAAAGAGGGGGACAACAGUUGGAAACGACUGCUAAUACCGCAUAAGCCCACGGGUCGGCAUCGACCAGAGGGAAAAGGAGCAAUCCGCUUUGAGAUGGCCUCGCGUCCGAUUAGCUAGUUGGUGAGGUAACGGCCCACCAAGGCAACGAUCGGUAGCCGGACUGAGAGGUUGAACGGCCACAUUGGGACUGAGACACGGCCCAGACUCCUACGGGAGGCAGCAGUGGGGAAUAUUGCACAAUGGGGGAAACCCUGAUGCAGCGACGCCGCGUGGAGGAAGAAGGUCUUCGGAUUGUAAACUCCUGUUGUUGAGGAAGAUAAUGACGGUACUCAACAAGGAAGUGACGGCUAACUACGUGCCAGCAGCCGCGGUAAAACGUAGGUCACAAGCGUUGUCCGGAAUUACUGGGUGUAAAGGGAGCGCAGGCGGGAAGACAAGUUGGAAGUGAAAUCCAUGGGCUCAACCCAUGAACUGCUUUCAAAACUGUUUUUCUUGAGUAGUGCAGAGGUAGGCGGAAUUCCCGGUGUAGCGGUGGAAUGCGUAGAUAUCGGGAGGAACACCAGUGGCGAAGGCGGCCUACUGGGCACCAACUGACGCUGAGGCUCGAAAGUGUGGGUAGCAAACAGGAUUAGAUACCCUGGUAGUCCACACCGUAAACGAUGAUUACUAGGUGUUGGAGGAUUGACCCCUUCAGUGCCGCAGUUAACACAAUAAGUAAUCCACCUGGGGAGUACGACCGCAAGGUUGAAACUCAAAGGAAUUGACGGGGGCCCGCACAAGCAGUGGAGUAUGUGGUUUAAUUCGACGCAACGCGAAGAACCUUACCAAGUCUUGACAUCCUGCGACGAUGCUGGAAACAGUAUUUUCCUUCGGGACGCAGAGACAGGUGGUGCAUGGUUGUCGUCAGCUCGUGUCGUGAGAUGUUGGGUUAAGUCCCGCAACGAGCGCAACCCUUAUGGUCAGUUACUACGCAAGAGGACUCUGGCCAGACUGCCGUUGACAAAACGGAGGAAGGUGGGGAUGACGUCAAAUCAUCAUGCCCUUUAUGACUUGGGCUACACACGUACUACAAUGGCGUUAAACAAAGAGAAGCAAGACCGCGAGGUGGAGCAAAACUCAGAAACAACGUCCCAGUUCGGACUGCAGGCUGCAAACUCGCCUGCACGAAGUCGGAAUUGCUAGUAAUCGUGGAUCAGCAUGCCACGGUGAAUACGUUCCCGGGCCU
rnacentral:rRNA from 1 species